UACGAAGGGGGCUAGCGUUGUUCGGAAUUACUGGGCGUAAAGGGCGCGUAGGCGGCGUGUCAAGUCAGGCGUGAAAGCCCCGGGCUCAACCUGGGAACCGCGCUUGAGACUGGCAUGCUCGAGUUCGGGAGAGGAUGGUGGAAUUCCCGGUGUAGUGGUGAAAUGCGCAGAUAUCGGGAAGAACACCCGUGGCGAAGGCGGUUCUCUGGGACGGUACUGACGCUGAGACGCGAAAGCGUGGGGAGCGAACAGG
rnacentral:rRNA from 1 species